UUUUCGACAGCAUGGUAGCUUUACACUACACACACACAAUUCGGCUGGUAUGCUUCUAAUAGCACAAAAUCAUUGGUGCUAUUAGGUUUUCAGCUCUUAGAUGAAGGGAUGUGUGUUUAGGAUAAUACUGGUCCCUAGGGUUGAGAAUAGAGAGAAUAAACUAUAGAGAGAAUAAAGGAUAUAUUCAACAUAAACCAUAGAGAGAAUAAAAGAUAAAAGGUAACUGAGUUGGCACUAGUUUACCAACUUCGGAUCGAAACACCUACCUAUAAACUGAAUACUUUAGUCUUGGAUUCCACUAAAGCAUUUAGGCACUAUGUGAAACUAGACAUGCACACACUACAACAAAAAUGGUCUAUAGCGACACUUUUAAAUGUAGGUACAUGUCAAAAAAGUGCUGCUAGCUAAAAUUACCGACACUUUUAAAAAGUGUUGCUAUAUGUGGGGUCGCUAGGUAUAUAGUGACAGUUAAAGAGUGUCGCUAUAACCUAAAAGAGUGCUGCUAAUUUACCAACACUUAUUUAAGCAUUUAGCAACCGCCGAAAUUCUAUCUCGUUGGCUGCGGUGGCGGAGGAGGACGACAGGAAAGGCUCUUCGUCUAGAAUUUUAGUGGAUUGAGUGAAGAGAGAAGAAAAGAUGGUAAUUGAAUUUUUUUUUUUUCUUUUCUGUUUGUAAUCGGGCCAAAUGGACUGGAUGUGGUGGGUUGAGUAGAGUAAUCUUUUAUUUUUGGUUGGAUUAGACUUUAUAUUUAGGCAUUAGUAGAUGUUUUUUUAAGUUUUAGCAUAAAUGGAACACUUACUCAAAAGUGUCCCAAACAUGUGUUCCUAUAACCUAAUUCUGUUGUAGU
rnacentral:lncRNA from 1 species